UCCAGACUCCUACGGGAGGCAGCAGUGAGGAAUAUUGGUCAAUGGGCGGGAGCCUGAACCAGCCAAGCCGCGUGAGGGAAGAAGGUACAGCGUAUCGUAAACCUCUUUUGUCAGGGAACAAAGGCGGGGACUAGUCCCCGGAUGAGGGUACCUGAAGAAAAAGCAUCGGCUAACUCCGUGCCAGCAGCCGCGGUAAUACGGAGGAUGCGAGCGUUAUCCGGAUUUAUUGGGUUUAAAGGGUGCGCAGGCGGCCUGUUAAGUCGGGGGGAAAAGCCGGGGGCCAAACCCCGGCGAGCCGUUGAAACUGGCGGGCUGGAGUUGGAGAGAAGUACGCGGAAUGCGCGGUGUAGCGGUGAAAUGCAUAGAUAUCACGCAGAACUCCGAUUGCGAAGGCAGCUCACUGGACUGCAACUGACACUGAUGCUCGAAAGUGUGGGUAUCAAACAGGAUUAGAUACCCUAGUAUA
rnacentral:rRNA from 1 species